GACGAACGCUGGCGGCGUGCUUAACACAUGCAAGUCGAACGGAAAGGCCCUGCUUUUGUGGGGUGCUCGAGUGGCGAACGGGUGAGUAACACGUGAGUAACCUGCCCUUGACUUUGGGAUAACUUCAGGAAACUGGGGCUAAUACCGGAUAGGAGCUCCUGCUGCAUGGUGGGGGUUGGAAAGUUUCGGCGGUUGGGGAUGGACUCGCGGCUUAUCAGCUUGUUGGUGGGGUAGUGGCUUACCAAGGCUUUGACGGGUAGCCGGCCUGAGAGGGUGACCGGCCACAUUGGGACUGAGAUACGGCCCAGACUCCUACGGGAGGCAGCAGUGGGGAAUAUUGCACAAUGGGCGGAAGCCUGAUGCAGCAACGCCGCGUGCGGGAUGACGGCCUUCGGGUUGUAAACCGCUUUCGCAUGUGACGAAGCGUGAGUGACGGUAAUGGGUAAAGAAGCAACGGCUAACUACGUG
rnacentral:rRNA from 1 species